CACCCCCUUGAGUCGGGGUAUGCCGGUCGAGUACCUUCCCGAAAGGCAGAAGCUUGAUGGUUAAUAGGCAUAUACAUACAAAAUAUUUUCGAAAGAUUCAUAUCUAUUCCAUGGAUUUGAUUUGCAUAGCAUAACAUAAUUUCAUGCAUAUAUCAUAGCAUCAAAAAGUAAUUUACUCUACUUUAGAGAUUAAGGUUACUUACA
rnacentral:lncRNA from 1 species